GAAACCGUGUACGUACAAGCAGUGGGAGCCUCUUAAUGGGGUGACUGCGUACCUUUUGUAUAAUGGGUCAGCGACUUAUAUUCUGUAGCAAGGUUAACCGAAUAGGGGAGCCGAAGGGAAACCGAGUCUUAACUGGGCGUUAAGUUGCAGGGUAUAGACCCGAAACCCGGUGAUCUAGCCAUGGGCAGGUUGAAGGUUGGGUAACACUAACUGGAGGACCGAACCGACUAAUGUUGAAAAAUUAGCGGAUGACUUGUGGCUGGGGGUGAAAGGCCAAUCAAACCGGGAGAUAGCUGGUUCUCCCCGAAAGCUAUUUAGGUAGCGCCUCGUGAAUUCAUCUCCGGGGGUAGAGCACUGUUUCGGCAAGGGGGUCAUCCCGACUUACCAACCCGAUGCAAACUGCGAAUACCGGAGAAUGUUAUCACGGGAGACACACGGCGGGUGCUAACGUCCGUCGUGAAGAGGGAAACAACCCAGACCGCCAGCUAAGGUCCCAAAGUCAUGGUUAAGUGGGAAACGAUGUGGGAAGGCCCAGACAGCCAGGAUGUUGGCUUAGAAGCAGCCAUCAUUUAAAGAAAGCGUAAUAGCUCACUGGUCGAGUCGGCCUGCGCGGAAGAUGUAACGGGGCUAAACCAUGCACCGAAGCUGCGGCAGCGACACUAUGUGUUGUUGGGUAGGGGAGCG
rnacentral:rRNA from 1 species